UAGGGUGAUGCGCACUUGUAAUCCGGAUGU
rnacentral:piRNA from 1 species